GGCACUGUAGUGAAGUGGCACUCACUCGAGAUUGAGCUAAACGAGUGCGUGUGAUGCAUAAAGCAAUCUCGCGACCCAGGUUCAAGCCCUGGCAGUGCCU